UGCAGUCGAACGAUGAAGCCCUUCGGGGUGGAUUAGUGGCGAACGGGUGAGUAACAGAGGGCAAUCUGCCCUUCACUCUGGGACAAGCCCUGGAAACGGGGUCUAAUACCGGAUACCACUCCUGCCUGCAUGGGCGGGGGUUGAAAGCUCCGGCGGUGAAGGAUGAGCCCGCGGCCUAUCAGCUUGUUGGUGGGGUAAUGGCCCACCAAGGCGACGACGGGUAGCCGGCCUGAGAGGGCGACCGGCCACACUGGGACUGAGACACGGCCCAGACUCCUACGGGAGGCAGCAGUGGGGAAUAUUGCACAAUGGGCGAAAGCCUGAUGCAGCGACGCCGCGUGAGGGAUGACGGCCUUCGGGUUGUAAACCUCUUUCAGCAGGGAAAAAGCGAAAGUGACGGUACCUGCAGAAAAAGCGCCGGCUAACUACGUGCCAGCAGCCGCGGUAAUACGUAGGGCGCAAGCGUUGUCCGGAAUUAUUGGGCGUAAAGAGCUCGUAGGCGGCUUGUCACGUCGGAUGUGAAAGCCCGAGGCUUAACCUCGUGUCUGCAUUUCUAUACGGGCUAGCUAGAGUGUGGUAGGGGAGAUCGGGAUUUUCCUGGUGUAGCGGUG
rnacentral:rRNA from 1 species